GCUGGGAUAGCUCAGUCCGUAGAGCAUGAGACUCUUAAUCUCAAGGUUGUGAGUUCGAGCCCCAUGUUGGGCA
rnacentral:tRNA from 1 species